rnacentral:rRNA from 1 species
GCAAGUCGAACGAGAACGGAACUUCGGUUCUUAUUAAAGUGGCGAAAGGGCGAGUAAUGCGUUUCUAACGUGCCCCAAGUAAGGGAUAGCAUCGAGAAAUCGUUGGUAAUACCUUAUAAUCUCCUAGCGUCGUAUGGCGUCUGGAGCAAAGAUUUAUUGCUUGGGGAGCGGGGAACGUCCUAUCAGAUUGUUGGUGGGGUAAUGGCCUACCAAGUCUAAGACGGGUAGCGGGUGUGAGAGCAUGACC